rnacentral:rRNA from 1 species
GACGAACGCUGGCGGCGUGCUUAACACAUGCAAGUCGAACGGAAAGGCCCUGCUUUUGUGGGGUGCUCGAGUGGCGAACGGGUGAGUAACACGUGAGUAACCUGCCCUUGACUUUGGGAUAACUUCAGGAAACUGGGGCUAAUACCGGAUAGGAGCUCCUGCUGCAUGGUGGGGGUUGGAAAGUUUCGGCGGUUGGGGAUGGACUCGCGGCUUAUCAGCUUGUUGGUGGGGUAGUGGCUGACCAAGGCUUUGACGGGUAGCCGGCCUGAGAGGGUGACCGGCGACAUUGGGACUGAGAUACGGCCCAGACUCCUACGGGAGGCAGCAGUGGGGAAUCUUGCACAAUGGGCGGAAGCCUGAUGCAGCAACGCCGCGUGCGGGAUGACGGCCUUCGGGUUGUAAACCGCUUUCGCCUGUGACGAAGCGUGAGUGACGGUAAUGGGUAAAGAAGCACCGGCUAACUACGUG